rnacentral:tRNA from 1 species
UCUGCUAAAGGAUACAAGACAUCCAUUGGUUUUAGGAACCAACACCCUUGGUGC